rnacentral:lncRNA from 1 species
AACUAUUUAGGGAGCUACCAUUUGAUUUUUAUGGGGGGGCUAGGAUGAAAUUUGAAAAAAAUAGGCAGGACAGGAAUUUUGAGUAAAAAAAAAGGCAGGAUGAGACACUUGCAAAAAAAAAAAGUCAGGAUGACAUUUUAGGUAAAAAAAGUCAGGAUAAACUAAAAAAAAAAGAAGGCAGGACCGAAUAGAGUGAAAAAUAAAAAGGCAGGACAGAGAUUACAACUAAAAAAAAAUGCAGGACAAAAUUUUUCAUCCUAGCCCCCCCCCAUAAAAAUCAAAUGGUAGCUC